rnacentral:rRNA from 1 species
GCAACGUUGCGUCCUGUCGUUCUUGGUUUGCUAAUCGUGCUAGAGACCUCAACUUCGGAAGGGGUGUAUUUAUUAGAUAAAAAACCAAUGCCCUUCGGGGCUCCUUGGUGAUUCAUAAUAACUUAACGAAUCGCAUGGCCUUGCGCCGGCGAUGGUUCAUUCAAAUUUCUGCCCUAUCAACUUUCGAUGGUAGGAUAGUGGCCUACCAUGGUUUCUACGGGUAACGAGAAAUAAGGGUUCGAUUUCGGAGAGGGAGCCUGAGAAACGGCUACCACAUCCAAGGAAGGCAGCAGGCGCGCAAAUUACCCAAUCCCGACACGGGGAGGUAGCGACAAGAAAUACUGAUGCAGAGCUCUUUUGGGUUUUGCAAUUGGAAUGAGUACAAUUUAAAUCCCUUAACGAGGAACAAUUGGAGGGCAAGUCUGGUGCCAGCAGCCGCGGUAAUUCCAGCUCCAAUAGCGUAUAUUAAAGUUGUUGCAGUUAAAAAGCUCGUAGUUGAAACUUGGGCCUGGCUGGCCGGUCCGCCUCACCGCGUGCACUGGUCCGGCCGGGCUUUUCCUUCUGGGGAGCCGCAUGCCCUUCAUUGGGUGUGCCGGGGAACCAGGACUUUUACUUUGAAAAAAUUAGAGUGUUCAAAGCAGGCCUAUGCUCGAAUACAUUAGCAUGGAAUAAUAGAAUAGGACGUGUGGUUCUAUUUUGUUGGUUUCUAGGACCGCCGUAAUGAUUAAUAGGGAUAGUCGGGGGCAUCAGUAUUCAAUUGUCAGAGGUGAAAUUCUUGGAUUUAUUGAAGACUAACUACUGCGAAAGCAUUUGCCAAGGAUGUUUUCAUUAAUCAGUGAACGAAAGUUAGGGGAUCGAAGACGAUUAGACCUCAGUAUCCGGUCGUCUAUAGCCAGUUCUAGUUGGGGGCCCCAUCUCGGGGCCUCUGGCGACACCAUUCAACUGUAAUGGAGCCCGGGGGCGUUUGUUCGCCCCCGCAAUCCACAGCCAAGUCCCCCGGAGCCCGGGGGACGCAGUUUACAGACUGAAUAACGGUGGGCCACCUUCCAGGCGCGAAGGGGUUUCAGAGAUAGUCGGUCCGGGCGCGCGAGCCCCCGGAGACCACGCAGAUACCGUCGUAGUCUUAACCAUAAACUAUGCCGACUAGGGAUCGGACGGUGUUAUUAUUUUGACCCGUUCGGCACCUUACGAGAAAUCAAAGUUUUUGGGUUCUGGGGGGAGUAUGGUCGCAAGGCUGAAACUUAAAGACAUUGACGGAAGGGCACCACCAGGCGUGGAACCUGCGGCUUAAUUUGACUCAACACGGGGAAACUCACCGGGUCCGGACAAAAUAAGGAUUGACAGAUUGAGAGCUCUUUCUUGAUCUUUUGGUUGGUGGUGCAUGGCCGUUUUUAGUUGGUGGAGUGAUUUGUCUGCUUAAUUGCGAUAACGAACGAGACCUUAACCUGCUAAAUAGCCCGGUCAGCUUUGGCUGGCCGCCGGCUUCUUAGAGGGACUAUCGGCUCAAGCCGAUGGAAGUUUGAGGCAAAAACAGGUCUAGCAAAUUGCUGGCAAUUCUACACAGGCCUGUUUGUAACAACGUGCGCCCCUGCGGCAACACGUUCGUGGCUUGGCGGCAUAUCUUGUCGCUAAGUCAACACCGCUGGUACAGAGAAUGUGCUCUUCGAUGAAGGCGCUAAUUCUGUAGCGAAUCCUCUCUAGGGAUCGUUUCAACGCAUGCAAAGCGGUGGGCUCGUAAAAGAGUUUCAGGUACAUGCUGACUCUCCGCGAAAAGCGGAGCCAGUCCUGUUGCACAGGCAGCUCGAGGGCUGUUUGAUGUGGCAGGCCUGGUUAUGUUAGGGAAGUCCACCCCGGAAUCCUCACUGACAUAAAGAGAAAACGCUGUGAUGCCCUUAGAUGUUCCGGGCCGCACGCGCGUUACACUGACAGAGACAGCGAGUACAUCACCUUGGCCGAAAGGUCUGGGUAAUCUUGUUAAACUCUGUCGUGCUGGGGAUAGAGCAUUGCAAUUAUUGCUCUUCAACGAGGAAUGCCUAGUAAGCGCAAGUCAUCAGCUUGCGUUGAUUACGUCCCUGCCCUUUGUACACACCGCCCGUCGCUACUACCGAUUGAAUGGCUCAGUGAGGCCUUCGGACUGGCCCCAGGAGGUCGGCAACGACCACCCAGGGCAGUUAAAGUGAUCUGAAUGAUUUUAAG